GAUGAACGCUGGCGGCGUGCCUAAUACAUGCAAGUCGAGCGAACAGAUGAGGAGCUUGCUCCUCUGACGUUAGCGGCGGACGGGUGAGUAACACGUGGAUAACCUACCUAUAAGACUGGGAUAACUUCGGGAAACCGGAGCUAAUACCGGAUAAUAUAUUGAACCGCAUGGUUCAAUAGUGAAAGACGGUUUUGCUGUCACUUAUAGAUGGAUCCGCGCCGCAUUAGCUAGUUGGUAAGGUAACGGCUUACCAAGGCACCGAUGCGUAGCCGACCUGAGAGGGUGAUCGGCCACACUGGAACUGAGACACGGUCCAGACUCCUACGGGAGGCAGCAGUAGGGAAUCUUCCGCAAUGGGCGAAAGCCUGACGGAGCAACGCCGCGUGAGUGAUGAAGGUCUUCGGAUCGUAAAACUCUGUUAUUAGGGAAGAACAAAUGUGUAAGUAACUAUGCACGUCUUGACGGUACCUAAUCAGAAAGCCACGGCUAACUACGUG
rnacentral:rRNA from 1 species